GCACCAGUGGCGGAAUCGGCAGACGCGCACGCUUGAGGGGCGUGUGAGUAACAUCGUGCGAGUUCAAGUCUCGCCUGGUGCACCA
rnacentral:tRNA from 1 species